UCUUUUGACGGUGAAAGUGUGCUCAAAUGUGCUGAAAAGGGGACCUGUUGUAGCCAUCUUUGUUGGCACUUUGGUUAAACUGUUAGAAGGUAAGAAUUCAGUAUUCGGUGUAUGGGAAAAACCCAGUAUUUGGCUUAGGAUGAUGCUCUUCGUGUGAAAAAAUGUUUGCAAUAUUUAUGUACGUGUUCUCUUCGGCAGACGUCGGUAAAGUUAGAAUUAGAAACUUCAGUGAGCUGCUUUUUCCUUCAAUAAGAUGAUGUCGUGUCUUUCUUGAUUGCAUUAUUAUACAAUUUAACAAGAGAGCUACAGUUAGAACAGAGAGCUAAAGUCAGUAUUGCGAUGUGUGGACGUGACAUUUGCUCAAAUUUAAUACAUUGUACUAGGUUAAUCUACCUGUAGUCUGGUUACUCAAGAUCAUGAAUACCAGUGCAUUUCUUGCACUGUAGAAGUUCUUAACCAAUGGGUUAACCACAAAGAAACACCGCAUGUUGAUAGGAGAUACUCAAUAUCCAGAUCUACUGCUAUAAUGAUUACUUGGACAGACUCCUACUCUGCCACUCACUCGGGCGCAACUAUAGUCAUGCAGUUUUGAAUCUUCACAGUUAUAUGGGUAUGCUUAUGGACUGAUUUUGUUCCCAGUACAUGGUGAUGAUCCAUGUUCUGUUUACUCGGUCGAUGCAGAAUGUGAAGGCAGGAGUGGGAUCACAUUCCAGACUCCAGAGAGUGUACCAAUUAGCCUCAGGUUCAUAAAUACCCAGGUUCAAAAAAAGUUAUGAUAAGCUGAGAGCGUCAACGGCAGAUAUUGUGGUACAUUUAAACGGACUUCUCGAGCUAGAGGACUGGUUGGAGAUGACAAUGUGUUUGGACUACAUCUUUCAGCUUAGACAUCUUAUUAUGAUGGCCCUACUGUUCCGCAGUGGUACUAAAUCAGAGACUUCUCAAUGAGUAUUAGCGAUACAUGGGUAAUUCUGGAGUAGUAAUCCCUCCUGAAUAUUUUGUAUGCUCGGUUGCUUCAAGAUCUUGCUUUGAUGUUUGGGAAGAAUGGGUACUGGGUGCCGUUAUUUAAUCUA